AAUCAACGCUGGCGGCGUGCCUCAGACAUGCAAGUCGAACGCGAAAGGACGCUUCGGCGUCCGAGUAGAGUGGCGCACGGGUGAGUAACACGUGGGUAAUUUACCUUCGGGUGGGGAAUAACAGCCGGAAACGGCUGCUAAUACCGCAUAAUGCAGCGGCUCCUCAUGGAGACAGUUGUUAAAGCGGGGGAUUCGUUUGAACCUCGCGCCGGAAGAGAAGCCCGCGGCAGAUUAGCUAGUUGGUAGGGUAAUGGCCUACCAAGGCGACGAUCUGUAG
rnacentral:rRNA from 1 species